rnacentral:lncRNA from 1 species
UUUUUUUUUUUUUUUUUUUUUUUUUUUUUUCUUUAUAGUUAAGUAAGACAGAACACGACAUACUUAGUGACUGCCUUGAAAUUUUAAUUUCUUUUAAGAACAACUUACAAACACUUGAUGUUAAUGAUGUGGCUGAUUUAUUUUAUUCCUUAACAGUUUUUCAAAUUAUUCAGGGUUAUGAAGAUGGAAGUAUAAUAAAAAAUAAAUACGGAUAUUCUAAAAAUAAAAACGAAAACAAAAAUGAGGAACUAUAUAAAAUUCUUUCAAAUAUCAUAAUUAAAAAAAUUAUUAAUAUGAAAGAAAAUAAUAUUUAUAAAACUAUUUUGUGUUGUGCAAACACGGCUUAUUCGGACGUUUAUUUAAAUCACUUUUUAAAAAACUUUAACAGACAUAUAAAAAUCAGCAAAAUGAGGAAAUUUAUAAAUUGUUAGGAACUUAUUAUCUUUAUUUGUUUUGAUUGAAAAUAAUAGUUAGGUACAACUUUUUUAUUUAUAUGAGUAAUUUUGGUUUUAGAGUAAUUUGAUUUGCAAAAAAUAUUAAUAUAUCCAGCUAGCUGCCCCGGAAAUUGUUCUAUAAAAAAAAAAAAAAAAAAAAAACAUAUAUACAUAUACACAUAUAUACACAUAUAUACACAUAUACACAUUGCAUCAAAACUAUGUAAUAUGUUAUAAAAUAUAAAAAAAAAGAAUAAUAAAAAACAAAAGGACAUAACA